rnacentral:lncRNA from 1 species
ACCAGUUGAGUAUAUUCCUCUUAAUCCUGCUAGGUGCCUCUAAUUAAGUUAUUACCCUUAAGUAAAUUUAGUGAUGAUAAUCAUGGUCGAAUGGUGCUCAUUGUUUGCACAUGCUCAAGAUCGAGAUGUAGUGUUGACAUAUGCGAAUACGUGGUUGAAGGGUAUGUUUGAUUUGGACGUACUAGGUGUCCGUUCGUCACG